rnacentral:siRNA from 1 species
UUAGUGUUUUUUGGGCUUUUA